CUGCCACCAACUGUCACCCACUGUCAUCCCAAACUGACUCACUGGCAGAUGCUGAGGCUCUCCUAUUUGAACUUUGGACUGUGCUGCAGCCUCACCUCUGAAGCCGCCACUGAUUAGCAUCAAAUUCCUGUUUCCUGCCAGAGUCCCCUCAGCCGCAUCAAACCAUAGUUACUAGAGCUUGGAACGUAUAGUAGAUGAGCUGAGAGACAUAUUACACACACAGCAAGGAGCAAGGGCGUAGCUACCAUAGGUGCAGGCAGUGCAGCUGCUAUGGGGCCCAGAGCUGAGAGGGGCCCACCUUCCCUGUCACAGUUUUAUGUGUUAUAUACAAUCCUUUCAAACGUUUUCCUUGGGGCCUGCAAUAUAUCUAGAUAAGUAAAUGAGCUACUACAGAGAUCAACUGAGAAGGCUGUUCUGAGAAUUAACAAUGCCGCUCGGUUUCUCUCAGAUGUAUGUUGGGAUUUCAAGCAUCCACAUUGAAACACAGAGAAGCAAAAGCAGAAACCCACACAGGAGCAACCAAACAAACUUCAUCAGCCCUGCCAGGUCCUGAUUUUGAGCUAGAUACAGCAGCCAGCUUACUUCCUUAUGCGAAUGGGAGAUUCUCCCUGUAUAUGCUGAACAUCCAUGCGUCUGUAUGUGGAAUGCUGUCCCGCACACUGUGUCUGAAGAGCCAGAUUAACAAUGGGGCGGAUUGAGCAACAGUCACA